GUCAGACCCAGCAGUAAAAAAUAUGCAUAUAUUUUUUAGUGAUGCACCAAUAAGGAAAUUUCUGGUUGAUACCAGGAACACUCCACCCAAAUAAAUUUUAAAAGUAUUUACUUUUUUGUAAGAAAACAUCAACAGUCUCAGAGCACUAUAUAUUUAUAACUGUAUACAUUUUAUAUAUUUAUAACAGAGAAGGGCUGAUCAUCAAGUGUGAUAAACUCCGUAAUUUUCCGAGUAAUGUCUUGAUUUUGCACUGCCUGCACUGAAUUUUCUUUUGCUAUCAAAUGCUUGUGUUACUGACAGACUAAUAUUAUUUGGCAGUACUGUAGCCUUCUUAAUUGGAACGGAUUUGUUUUUCAUGAACUCUUCAUGACCUUUCAUGACUCCUCACUGUCUCACCUUAAGGCAGGGCUCUUCAAAUCUGGACGUCAAUUCCAAAUCCAGGCCUAGUUUUCAGUCCUCCCAUGUACUGAGUUUAAUAAUCACUGAUUCUGAUUGGCCAGAGGCUUCACACCUGGCUCACAGGUAAAGGAAGGCUGGGAAAUAAGCAGGUCUUGGACCUUGAGGACCGUGAUUUAAAUAGUUCUGCCUGAAGGUGAAGCAAUCAAAUUUGUUGUUUUGAAAUGUUUAUUAGUAGGUCCUCCUCAUGAAAUUUUAGCAGUGCAAUGUUUGUAAAAUGCAUUUACAAUGUGAUUUUUGUUAACAUUACAGUAAUUCCACCCAGCAGACAUUUUUGUCAGUUUAGUACAUGGGUGUGCAAAGUAAUAUGGGUCACCAUUUUAAAGGGGAUUACUGGCAGUAAAUAUCGGCUCAUUUUUAACCAUCGGUUGAUGGCCGAUUGUUACUGUAUCAGCCGAUACCGAUAGUGUAUAUACAAUUGGUGUAUAUUUUUUAAAGAUCUGAAAUCCUGGGAAAUUAUGAAAGAUUAUUUAGUAAAAAGACAUAGGUGUGAGAAAUCCAUUCAUCUUCCAACAGUUUACUCUACUGAGGCUUGCCGGUGGGUGGGGGGCAGCGCCCAUCCAAGGCACCACAGGGCAAAUGGCUGGGGUAACUCCCUAGAUGGGAUGCCAGUCCAUUGCAGGGCAGAUAACCACACAAUCACACACUAUAGGCUAUUUAGAAAAGCUAAUUAGCAAAAAUGUGUAUCUUUUGACUGCAGCAGGAAACAACAUGAGGAUAUCCCUCAAACUCCAUAAACACAGGGCAGAGGCAGGAUUUGUUCUGCCCCCCCCCCCCCGUGUUUUUGUUACGCUGUAGCUAGCUUUCUUCUGUUCCUCACUGCCAUCUCUGCUACCGUAACCAAAAGUCCCAGUUCAAUUCUCCAGUCGGAGUGUCACAUUGUCCAGUUCACCGUGCAGCUGGGCCGAAGUCACACAUAGACAUAUGUCUUUCAUGAUGUACAUACAGGUGUGCUGUACAUGUGGCAGAGGUGGGGACUGGAUUUGUUCUAAGUUACUUCUUUCAGAAGUCCUCACCUGGACAUAGUGUGGUGCAGGUGACCCUUUGGAAGGGUGGGCCCUCGCAGACGGCUCCACCAUUGAGUGGCGCUGGAUUGGUACAGCUGCGUGUCCUUCGCUGCCAGCCCCUCCCACAGCACAUUUUUCCACUAAAGGACCAAUCAGAUGGGGAUGCCGGGAGUAUCGCCGUGGUUACCAUAGACUAUGAUGGUGGCGGUGCUGCUACGCCGCUUGGCCACCACAUUGUGGGCCACGCAGGUGUAGUUGGCUGUGUCGGAGAGGCGGGCCUGCUUGAUGAUCAGGUCAUGGUCAACGGUUAUCAAGAAGUUGGAGUCCAGUGUUGGGUCGAUUGUGUCUUCGUUCUUCAGCCAGUCCACCUACAAGUGAAAACAAGUCCAGAUUGCAACUUAAGAAGGUAGGACGUCAGGUGUAAUGAUGGAGAGAUGACUGGUGGGGGCUGAUGAAGGUGCUGAGAAAUGAAGCGGUGAAGCAAUAGCUAUACCUCAGGAGGAGGGAUGCCCUCUGGGGGGCGACACUGCAGCAACACCUCUUGUUCCAGGCGCACCUCCCUGCCCAGUGGCUCCUGCUCAAAGUUCUUGCGCAAGACUGCAGGGGAAGGGAGAUAGUGAGUUUGGAGUAGGGGAUAUCCUGGAGGAGACACGUGAAGAACCCUGUGCACCUACAUGAGUGCACACAAGGAAGCACGUGUUGCUGAACUCACAAGCGAUGCGCACGUACGCCCGGCGGCUCUUGGUGGUGCCGGCUGAGCUCCAGGCCACGCACUGGCACCAGAAAUCUUCUAGGCCGAACAGCUCCUCCACUUGAGUCCUGGAAACGGAGAUAUCCACUUCCCGUACCACUAGGCCUGCAGGGGAAGGUGAGCUGUGCUGAGCUUGAAGCCAUGAGGGCCUCGACAUAAGCAGAGCCCUGGUUCUGCUCUCCUCACAAGUUUAGUGGUAAUGUUACAGAGAUAGGCGAUUGGCCAUUGCGUCCCUCUAUGAUGCGACGUGAGUGGAAAGCCUCCCCCCCCCCGUUUUCCACUACUAUCCAUGGCAUGGUGCUAGCUAGCGCGUCACCACCAGACGUGAUGAUUGCGGCCAACGAUUGCUCUGCCAGAACAACGUUUUUAAUUUACUGCCUCUCUUCAGGCGAAUAAUCAAAUCAGGCCUCCCUGACCUUCACUUCCUCUCUCCCCGAGAGAGACGGACAAGUUCCUGGAGCAUGUUGGCGAAUGGUUGUCUGACACCCAUAACUCCAGGCAAACUCUGAAAAUCAAUUUCAGUCAAACUAACGACGGUAGGGCACAGCAAAAACUCUAUUACAUUGGGCCCUGAAAAGACAUUUAAAAUAUCAUACACGAAGUCGCACUCAACCCAUGGCUCUCUGAACAUUGGCUAAACCACCAGGUACGCUCCAUGGUUUGAUGAGCCGUAACGCAAAAUGGGUUCUGAAAAUGGCAGCUCAGAAUCUGAGAGAAAAGGGAAGGAGGAUAUUUGAGUACACCGCAAAUGUGGACUUGCUCAGACUGGGCUGAAAAGGCAAUCCUAGGACAGCGAGUUCAACCCUGAAAGGGACAGGGCUUCAUAGGGAAUCUGGUAUCCAGGGUGGAACUACUGAACCCUGCUUCAGGAACUGCAGUCAGAGUCUUCUCACUCUUACUGCUUUUGUCUGGAGAGUGAGGUCAGACAUGGAGGAAGGAAUGUUGGGAAUGAAGAGGUCCCAGACACUCUGCCACUUGCGAGACCACACGACGUACCAAAGGUCGAAGGUCCACACACAGAGCGGGGUCAGGAAUCAGAGCCCCAUCCAGAGACAACAGCAAUGACCUCAGCAGUCAGCACCCCACCCCGUCUGGGCCCAGCCCAUCCAGGAAACGUCGCCCAGGCAGGAGCCACUCUCAUAAAUCAUGCCCCCCAGUUUACCCAGCAGAGCAAGGUGCUGCACCGUAUCAUGGUGGGCAGAAUGGUCACCUGGGGCUACCAGAGGAUUCAUGACAUCAUGGGACAAGCAGAACCUUUUGUGUUAGGCUAUCCCCCCGUGCAGCCGCAGGCUGAUUGGGGACCGGCUUUGGGGACGCCCCCAUUUUCCACGCAUGGACCGUGUUGAGCUGUGAAACAGAGCGAUGCUGAGGUGACCUUGAGAUUGAGAUUCAAUCCCCCUUCUUCACGGAUCAGCACAUUUCAUAUCUUUAAGGUGUUUAAAGUUAGAAAAAAGUAUAAUUAUUUUUACCUGUGUUGUUCAUGAGGUUUGAAAAUCAUGUAAAUGUAUGAUACAUGAAUAGUGAUAUGUUUUACUUAAUGUGUUAAAAUAUUAGCUAUGAGUAUUAUGACUAACCCAAAUGAUUGCAGGAAAAAAGUUUAAACAGGUCAACUAACAACUGGCUGUUGUGUCUUAGGAUAAUGAAAUGGUAAUUUCAAACAAAAUAUAUCCCACAAAACAUUUUGGAGUGGAAUCUGAGCUGACCUCAGGGUGGUGGUCAUUACAGGAGUACAUGGUUUGUCGUGGAGUCAUGGAGCUGACGCCACAAGGCUGGAAUGAAGGAACAGAACAGCAAAGCUAACCAAACAAAGAGAGUCUAUUAUAGAAGAAACCACAAUCAAAAUGGAAUCACAAACCCUUCAAGUAAACCACAACUGGGACAAAAACGAGCUCAAAAAUAUGUAAAAAUCACAAAGAAACACGGAAACAUAAAACCAAGAUCGAGACACCCUUCUCCAUAUUUUCCGUUCUCCAACAUUCUGCUCAUUACAACCAUCCAGCUGACCUUAUACAAAAAACCUUACCAAGCAAUUAGUCUAGCCAGGCUGGGUUUCAUUCACCUGUAGGCACAAGGCAGGCGAUCAGUCGCUUUGGAAAUGACAACGGUGCCCUAAACCAUGCUGCUGCUGUACCUCCUGCUUCCUCACAAGGUGCACACAUCAAAUUGUGACUUAAUCCACUAAUAUUAGAUGUUUGUGUACCCCAAACACUGCAUAUCCAGGGGUUCUAUGGUGUCCUACUAGGGACACACAGCACGGCGUCUGAAUUGCCACCCCCUUAAAAACAUACUUAUUUAAGAAGCUUGCAUUUCCCAUGAGGAUGAUUAAGUGCCAUUUCAUCGCUGUUGUCCCUCGGGAUAGAUAUUGACGAGAGAUUCACAUUGGCCGGCCAUUUUAAUAUCAACCAUGAACACGGCAGUGGCCUGAUUGAGAAAGGGGACUUACUGUUGACCUGGAUAAGAAAAUAUUGAUCACAAAAGGAACAAAGAGAAAAGGAUGCAAUGGGUUUACUCAACUCAAGAAAACAAAAAAAAAAAAACAGGUGAGAUUUCUUGAGGUUAUUGCUCUCUAAUUCGUAACUUGGAGUUCCUAGUCAGAAAUUUCAACUGGAACACCCCCUCAGUUCGGAAUUUCAGCUCUUGAACUUGGAGGAAUCGACACAACCCCGACCUCAGAAUUCAAGAUGGCGGCACCCUUUAUCAGCAGAAGUUAAAGCUGUAGUUUAUACUGUUUAUUAGUCCUUACGUCUUAUUUGUGGCUCAUUAAAUCAAUCAGCACACAAUACUGUCCAACAUAUCUGUGGAGGGUUUACUACAGAGUUUUAUGCACAAAGCACAGUAUAAUGUGUUAUUAACUGAUAUUGCUAAUAAUGGCUAACAAUUAACCGGGCUAAAAUUGGAUUUCAUGCUCAGUCGGAUUUUUUGUCGGAUUUAAGGUAGUCCAGGCUAAAUGUAAGCGAAUUAAGAUAAAGCCUAUUUAAACUGAGGUUCCUUAAGUCUGACAAUUUGUCCAGCUAAGCAAAAAAUCUUGCUUUUUGAAACGGGUCUCUGGUAUUGUUAAAUGAAUGUGUUUAACUCAUGUGUGAUGUCAUUCCCAGUUCCGACCUCCAAGGUAAAUGGAACACAGCAUUAAUUGCAGAAUAAAA